UGUUAUGUAAUGUAAGAAUAAUGGAGGCACAAAGGGGAAGUGUGAGCACGAGACGGAAAACAGGCAGAAAGUCAAGAAACAGACCAUAAUAACAGGAAACAUCUGCUUGCACGGAAAAUCGCAAUGUGCACAAUCAUGGAGACUAACUCUGCACGGAGAGAAGCUGCAGCCGCUGCAAAUGAACUUCUCUCACUGUCUGUUUCUUUAUAGACCCAUGAGAACCUGGAGCUCGGACCCUGCAGGCCGAAAGGGGCUCAUUCUCUGCAACCUCAUCCGAAACGUUAUGAACCUGUUGUGCUGUAACUAAUCUCUGCGUCUCUUUCCUUCCCAAGGAUCCCUCUCCUCUCAGUCACAAGCCCAGGAGUCUGGGGAUCCACUGGAUGGAGAUUUGUGUCUUUUAUCUGUUUAUUAUGUAUUUGUUCUUCUCUUCAAACCACCAGCGCCCGUCUCUCCAGCUUUUCCCAUACAGUUUCCAGAGCUGUAAGCUCACUGGGCCAGAAGUUUGGCCCGAACCAAAGGCCUGCAGUAGGGUAGAAUUUGGCCAUGCUCCAUCCGUACGGUUGUUUUUCAUACUUUUGUAAGUUGUUCACAGUCCAUGAUAAGAAGAUUAAGCAACUUGGGGAACGUAUGAGCCAUCAACAUCUCAUCCCGUGUCAUCUGGAAAGGUCUACAAUGACUAUUCGGACCCAAUGUGCAGCAAAGGAGAGGAACCAAUACGAACAAGAAAACUGGACAUUGAUUGGUUGAAAUAUUGGCUAAACAACUACACUGGGUAUUGAUUGGUUCACAUAUUUGACUGGGGAGGUUGGACUAAGGAGUGACUAUAAUAAUAGAAAUAAGAGGGGAUUGGAGAACUUGUGUACAUUGUAUUAUGUCUCUGUCCCCCAUUGAUGCUUUAAAAGGGGUUGUUCACCUUUGAGUUAACUGUUAGUACAAUGUAGAGAGUAAUAUUCUGAGACAAUUUGCAAUUGGUCCUCAUUUUUUAUAAUUUGUGGUUUUUGGGUUAUUUAGAGAAGAACCGGGUUCAUGUGACCAGCAAUAUCCUUGAAUAAAGAGAGUUUCAAAUCGCA